UACGUAGGGGGCGAGCGUUGUCCGGAAUUACUGGGUGUAAAGGGUGAGUAGGCGGCAUGGUAAGCCAGAUGUGAAAGCCUUGGGCUUAACCCGAGGAUUGCAUUUGGAACUAUCAAGCUAGAGUACAGGAGAGGAAAGCGGAAUUCCUGGUGUAGCGGUGAAAUGCGUAGAUAUUAGGAAGAACACCAGUGGCGAAGGCGGCUUACUGGACAGUAACUGACGUUGAGGCUCGAAAGCGUGGGGAGCAAACAGG
rnacentral:rRNA from 1 species